rnacentral:rRNA from 1 species
UCCUGGCUCAGGACGAACGCUGGCGGCGUGCUUAACACAUGCAAGUCGAACGAGAAUUCUUGGAAUAGAAGCUUCGGUGGAAAAGACAAGAAGGAAAGUGGCGGACGGGUGAGUAACGCGUGAGCAACCUACCUUGUACAAAGGGAUAGCCUCGGGAAACCGGGAUUAAUACCAUAUGAGACCCCAAUAACGAGUGUUAAAGAGGUUAAAGAUUUAUCGGUAUGGGAUGGGCCUGCGUCUGAUUAGCUGGUUGGUGGGGUAACGGCUCACCAAGGCAACGAUCAGUAGCCGACCUGAGAGGGUGAUCGGCCACAUUGGAACUGAGACACGGUCCAAACUCCUACGGGAGGCAGCAGUGGGGGAUAUUGCACAAUGGGCGGAAGCCUGAUGCAGCAACGCCGCGUGAGCGAGGAAGGCCUUUGGGUCGUAAAGCUCUGUCGGGAAGGAAGAUAAUGACGGUACUUCCCGAGGAAGCCCCGGCUAACUACGUGCCAGCAGCCGCGGUAAUACGUAGGGGGCGAGCGUUAUCCGGAAUUAUUGGGCGUAAAGGGUGCGUAGGCGGUUUCUUAAGCGUGGGGUGAAGGCCGUUGGCUUAACCAAUGUAAGCCCCGCGAACUGGGGAGCUUGAGUGCAGGAGAGGAAAGCGGAAUUCCUAGUGUAGCGGUGAAAUGCGUAGAUAUUAGGAGGAACACCAGUGGCGAAGGCGGCUUUCUGGACUGUAACUGACGCUGAUGCACGAAAGCGUGGGGAGCAAAAAGGAUUAGAUACCCUGGUAGUCCACGCCAUAAACCAUAAACGGUAGGUGUCGGGGUUGUAAGACUUCGGUGCCGCAGUUAACGCAUUAAGUGUUCCGCCUGGGGAGUACGUGCGCAAGCAUGAAACUCAAAGGAAUUGACGGGGACCCGCACAAGCAGCGGAGCAUGUGGUUUAAUUCGAAGCAACGCGAAGAACCUUACCAGGGCUUGACAUCCCUCUGACCGGCGCGUAACGGUGCCUUCCCUUCGGGGCAGAGGAGACAGGUGGUGCAUGGUUGUCGUCAGCUCGUGUCGUGAGAUGUUGGGUUAAGUCCCGCAACGAGCGCAACCCUUGUCAUUAGUUGCCAUCAGGUAAUGCUGGGCACUCUAGUGAGACCGCCGGGGAUAACUCGGAGGAAGGUGGGGACGACGUCAAAUCAUCAUGCCCCUUAUGUUCUGGGCUACACACGUGCUACAAUGGCCGGUACAGAGAGCAGCGAAGUCGCGAGGCGGAGCCAAACUCUAAAACCGGUCCCAGUUCGGAUUGCAGGCUGAAACCCGCCUGCAUGAAGUCGGAGUUGCUAGUAAUCGCGAAUCAGAAUGUCGCGGUGAAUGCGAACACGGGUCUUGCACACACCGCCCGUCA